GUUCAUUCUAAUUUGAAAAUUUUACCUUAAAAAAAUUGAAUCGCCUACGGUUUAUUGGGUUUUCUGUAUUUUUGCUUUGUUAAUCCUUAAUCGUGUCUAGUUUCUACUAUACGAUGGACCUAGACAGAAUAAAUCACUUUCCAAUUGGCUUUAUUUUGAAAUUUAUUACAAAGCAUAAUAUAUUAUAUUUGUAGACAAACACAACUAUUCAACAUGUUUCCAAAGUACUCUCCACAUAAUAUACCAAUCAAAACUUUGAGCCUUAUGUAUGAACAUUUUCGAAUCUUGUACGGGUUCUUCCAAGAGCAAGCCUUAUGCGAUGUUACGCUGAUAUGUGAUGAUGGCGUUCAAAUUUUAGCUCAUAAAGCAAUUGUAGCAUCUGCAAGCCCUAUGCUGUUAGCAAUGUUCAAUGGUGGCUUUAAGGAGACCAAAGAAAUUAGUAUGCCUAUUAAAGAUAUUGAAUCUGGUAUAUUGACGUCAAUUGUAACUUGUGCAUAUACAUUUCAGAUG